rnacentral:rRNA from 1 species
CAGUCGCCACGGUAAUACGAAGGGGGCUAGCGUUGUUCGGAAUUACUGGGCGUAAAGCGUGCGUAGGCGGUUUGUUAAGUCUGCUGUGAAAUCCCCGGGCUCAACCUGGGAAGGGCAGUGGAUACUGGCAAGCUAGAGUGUGUCAGAGGAUGGUGGAAUUCCCGGUGUAGCGGUGAAAUGCGUAGAGAUCGGGAGGAACAUCAGUGGCGAAGGCGGCCAUCUGGGACAACACUGACGCUGAGGCACGAAAGCGUGGGGAGCAAACAGGAUUAGAUACCCCAGUAGUUCCUGUCUCUUAUAA